rnacentral:rRNA from 1 species
CAAUAGCGUAUAUUUAAGUUGUUGCAGUUAAAAAGCUCGUAGUUGGAUUUCUGCUGAUCGCUGUCGGUCUGCCGUCAGGUGUGUACUGGCAGUGUUUGGCAUCUAUUCGAGAUUGGGUGUCCACUUGAUUGUGUGCACUCGAUGUCGGAGCUAAUACUUUGAGAAAAUUAGAGUGUUCCACGCAGGCGCGUGCCUUGAAUACUGCAGCAUGGGAUAUUGGAAGGCCGAUUGAGCUUUCUUGUUGGUUCUCGGUUUGAUCGGAAUGAUUAAUAGGGAUAGUUGGGGGCAUUCGUAUUCAACUGUCAGAGGUGAAAUUCUUGGAUUUGCUGAAGACGGACUACUGCGAAAGCAUCUGCCAUGGAUGUUCUCAUUGA